rnacentral:rRNA from 1 species
ACGAACGCUGGCGGCAGGCCUAACACAUGCAAGUCGAACGCUCGUAGCAAUACGGGAGUGGCAGACGGGUGAGUAACACGUGGGAACGUACCCUUCGGUUCGGGAUAACUCAGGGAAACUUGAGCUAAUACCGGAUACGUCCGAGAGGAGAAAGGUUUACUGCCGAAGGAUCGGCCCGCGUCUGAUUAGCUAGUUGGUGAGGUAACGGCUCACCAAGGCGACGAUCAGUAGCUGGUCUGAGAGGAUGAUCAGCCACAUUGGGACUGAGACACGGCCCAAACUCCUACGGGAGGCAGCAGUGGGGAAUAUUGGACAAUGGGCGCAAGCCUGAUCCAGCCAUGCCGCGUGAGUGAUGAAGGCCCUAGGGUUGUAAAGCUCUUUUACCUGGGAAGAUAAUGACUGUACCAGGAGAAUAAGCCCCGGCUAACUUCGU